ACGCACCAAAUCUCUACAAUAGAGAUGUAGAAAUUUUAUCCAACUUUUGAACAAGAAGAAGAAGAGACAUCCAUGUCUAAACAUGGACAAGAGAGAGAGAAGAUGAUGUCCAAAAAUAACCAACAAUUGGUUGUAAGAAAGAAAGGAUACAUACCUCACGCCAAUGACCCUUUUCACACCGUGCGCUCCCCUCUUUUUUCUCCCUUGUAUUCCAUGCACAAUAUCUCUCCUUUGGGUGUCCAAAACUAAUCCUCUCUCUCUUUUAACCAUCCCAUAUUGCUAGUUUAAAUAGGCCAAGAUAGAGUUUUAAUUUAAUUAGGAGAUAAGAGUCCAAAGGGCCUUGGACUCUAUCCAUUUUUGUGCCCCCCAAACACCAAAGAUUUUUGCCCAGAUUUCUCACGAUAAUUAAGGGAGAAAAUUCAUUCUUUCUUACAUGCACAAAAGGGAGGAAAGUGGCAUCAAAAAAUCUGGUAAGGCGUGGAUCUUUUGGGUGCACAAAUACAAGGUGGCGUGGAGUCCUUUUAGUGCAUGGAAUCAAUGUAUUUCAAGAACAUGGAACUCUUGUUUAAUGUGGCUGUUUUAAGUCAAACAAAAUACCAAUUAAUCCUAAUCAUAUGAGGACCAGAUUAGACUCAAAUAGAUGAGAAUCUAAAUCUGAUUUGGAGCCCAAUCUAUUUAGAUUAUAUGUCUCCUAAUUGGAGGAGGAGUCCUAAUCCAAUUAGACUCUUUCUUAGUGCUUGAGUCAAACUCAAUUUUUAAUCCUAAUCUAAUUAGAAUUUGGUGCACCUAUCAAAAUGAG
rnacentral:lncRNA from 1 species